rnacentral:rRNA from 1 species
AUUGAACGCUGGCGGCAUGCUUUACACAUGCAAGUCGAACGGUAACAGGUUAAGCUGACGAGUGGCGAACGAGUGAGUAAUGCAUCGGAACGUGCCCGGUCGUGGGGGAUAACGUAGCGAAAGUUACGCUAAUACCGCAUACGAUCUAAGGAUGAAAGUGGGGGAUCGCAAGACCUCGCGCGAUUGGAGCGGCCGAUAUCAGAUUAGGUAGUUGGUGGGGUAAAGGCUCACCAAGCCAACGAUCUGUAGCUGGUCUGAGAGGACGACCAGCCACACUGGAGCUGAGACGCGGUCCAGACUCCUACGGGAGGCAGCAGUGGGGAAUUUUGGACAAUGGACGCAAGUCUGAUCCAGCCAUUCCGCGUGCAGGAUGAAGCCCUCGGGUUGUAAACUGCUUUUGUACGGAGCGAAAAGGUCUCCUCUAAUACAGGGGGCUCAUGACGGUACCGUAAGAAUAAGCACCGGCUAACUACGUGCCAGCCGCCGCCGUAA